CUUUAUGAAAUUAUCUCAACAUCACCCAGAGACAUAGUAUAAUCAAAGCAGGAAGCGAGGCAGGGAUAAACACGAACCGGAUAGGAUACCGAUCAUAGGUGGAACUGACACUGCGACACACACACACCACAACAACAAGCUCCAGCUGAGCAGACGCAGGCACGGUGGCCGGCGAGAGUGGCACCGCGUCGCUCGCUGGCUGCUGACUGGGCACUGGGCCUCGACACGACAACACUUUUAUUUAGCCCACGUCACCGCGCGACCCCGCGCAAAGCACCCCACACCUAGUACGUACUCGUAGUAAAAAGGUAGCACCCCACUCCACUCCACUGGCUGACUGAGCAUCGCGCCGUGCCACGUAGGAGCACACGGCCGCCGCCGCCGUGGACGCGCGCCUCACACGCUCACGGUGGCCUCCUCUGCCGCGGCCGCGGGCGCCUCCUCCGCUGCAGCCGGCGCUUCCUCGGCGACGGCCGCCACCUCCGGCUCGGCGGCAGCGGGUGCCGCCUCCUCCUCCUUCACCUCCUCGGCCGCCGCCGCCGGCUCGGCCUCUGCCACGGCCUCCUUGGUCUCCGUCUCGACCACGGCUGGCGCCUCGGCCACCGGCUCGGCCGCAGCUGCCGGCUCGGGCUCCUUGGCCUCCUCCGUCACGGCGGCGGCCGGCGCCUCCUCCUUGGCCGCCUCGACCUCGACGGGGGCAGGCGCCUCGACCUCGGCCUCCGCCGGCGCGGGGACCUCCUCCGUCUUCGCGGCCUCCUCGGCGGCCACGGGCGUCUCCACCGCCGGCGCCUCCUCCGUCAGCGCGGCCGUCGGGUUCUGGACCUGCACGUUUGCACACUCAAUGCCAUCAGCCCCACGCACAUGCCAGCACGUACACAAACCGAUCAAGCUCGAGCUCGACCACGAUCAUGGGCGUUCGUCAGAUCGCGUAGAUCCAUCGGAACGACCAUCGAUCCGAGAACAUGAAAGAGAACAGACGAUCGAUCGAUCCGAUCGAGGCAAGCUAGCUAUACGUACAUCAGCGGUGGCCAUUGCCGUGGUGGAAGCAAGAAAAUGCCCGGAGCUAGCUGAAGCUAGUGCUACUGUGACCCUGUUGUGUGCCUGUGGCUGAUCCGAUGAGAGAGUGUGAGGCGUGUGUGUCUGUGUGGAGCAAUGGAGGCUAUAUAUAGCGGCCUCCGGAGGCCAAAACGGGGAGAACACAAACGCAAAUCGAAGGCCAAAAAAAUUUAAAAACGAAGCCGAUCGACGGGUCGAGGAAAUAAACAAGCCGAGUCCGUCUCAUGAUGAUCGGGAAUCUGGGGAGCUGUAUGUGCAAAUAAGCACGUCCUGACGACGUGCGGUUGUACGUGCGCGUCAUGCCAUCGAAGUAAAAGGUGGCCCGUGAGUCAUGACACUGUGUAAAGGGUCCAAAGAACAUACCAGGGUGCCCGUGCACGGCCCGCGUCUAGUUCAUCUCGCUCCACAUGUUGCUCGAUCAGGAUCGGUCGUGCCACACACACACAAAUAUAUGUUCGAGAGAAAAGUUGCGAGAUUCUUGAACUUAUUUUCCAUUUUCCAUAAGUUUCCGUGUACGAUCGGCCCUGCUGUCACGUUGAUGUGUGUGCCGUGUGCUGGCCAAACCUGAUCCGGCCCUGGUGGCAGUGGCAACAUGCAAGUGGGACCUUUUGAGGUGUACACAACAACACAUCUCGUCCUCCUUGCACGUUCUGCGCCGUCCUUUCCAUCGGACCGUCGAUCCCUUACCGAUUAAUUAAAUAUAAAUGAAGCCCUCGCCGAUUUAGCCGUAGCAGUAAUCGAUUCCAUCAUCUGUGAUUUGGAUCGAAACGUAUUUGAUUAGCCUUUGUUUUGUACGUACGAGAUUACGAUAGCUGAGCAGGGGCGGCUGUCGUCCGGGUUGGCGUGGAGACAAUGGAGUUGGAACCGAUGAAUGUGCGCGCCUGAAUAGUCGCGAUUUGGUUUUGGGAUUUAGGUUAGCUCUCCGUCUCAGGGUAGUACGUGGCCACCCGGCCUAUGCUACCGUAUAGACUUUCUUUUCCAGCAGUACGUAUGUUCUUUUUCUUUUUCCUUUUUCUUUUCGAGAUGUGACGUGAUGUGGAUCGGUGAAACCUAAUUAAGGUCCUGGUUACGCAUAUGUUUGCUGAUGGAGAGGGGGAGGGCGGCAUUCACUCAUUUUGCAAAACGAUUAUAUAUAUAUAUAUAUAUUGUCAUACACAGUAUGUAUGAUGUGCUAGGUAAUCCAGGGGUAAAAGUUUCUUUUAUUAUAGAAAAAAAAAUAAGGUGGUGGUGUCGAAUGGACCAAGGUUUUUUGUGAGAGCAAUUCCAGAUCCCCAAGCAAUCACCGCUGGAAUCGUGUCCCUGUUCUAGCGCUACAGUGGUAGCCUGCAUGUGUCAUGCUUCAGAGUCGAUCAGCAACAACAAUUAUGACAGCAACUGGAUGGAUGUCCCCCAUCACCUUUGGCUCUGGGGCUCGUCUACUUGCUCCGGCCUCCACCACCUUUGCCCGAAAGCUAGCGUAGAUAUAUGCAAGACGAUUACUACCGCGCCGCAGGGGUAGUUGUCCAUGGAUCAACCUCACGCUCCAAAACAAGAAACUUAUCAGAAAAGCAACGGGGAUAUCAUCAGCGGGACAGCGAGAUUACACUAACACGAAGUAGCACGCCACUAAUUAAUCGUCGCCACCUGAUCUCUUCCCUCGCCGGUCACCGCCGCCGAAAGGUCGAGAGACGGACAUGCGCAGCAAGGUAGCUGAGCUCUUACAAAAUGAGUGAAACCCCUUGGUUGCCCAUGUAAUCUUCUUUCCUCCUCUAAACUAAUUGCUUGCAGAUGAUUUUUGGCCCCGGUGGAGUGGAGGCGAUGGGGUUGGGCAGCUUUCUUUUCGAGAAAAUUCUCGCCGCCGUCGUUGUCGUCGCUUUAAACCGGCCAUUCAGAUCAUCAGAUGGCAUGGAAAGCGACGAGCAAGCAGAGUCCGCACCGGGCGUCCAACAUGCGCCGGCCACGGCCAGUGCCCGGUAGGACGGUCCGCUGGGCUGAUUGGUGCCACAUCACGCAGAAGAGAUAUACUAGAGUAGAGCAGUCGACAUGGCCGGCUGUCAGCCCCGGCCCCGCCUGCGUGUCCCUCCACCGCCGUGAUCUCCCGUGGCACCGGCCGGCCAGCUGCGCUGCUCGCUUUCGGCGGCCGUGCCAUGCCAUGCCAUGCCAUGCCAUGUGUGGUCGCCAUCGCGCACGCCGGUUCGAUCCAGACUUUCGUGUUGGCCAGCCAGCGGUGGGGUGUGGCUGCGGCUACAUAACGCCGAGCUUUCACAAAGGUGACGGGUGAGGCGCCGCAUAGGGAGCCACGGAGUUGGUGGGCGCAGGGAGCGGGGGGUGGGAUGAUUGGAGCCCAUGACCCGGAAGCGAUGGUGAGGUGGCGCCACGGCUAGGGGCGGUGGAGGAGGGGCCCGCGUCACAGUGCCCGUGAUGGAAACGGCGGUGUGCGGACGCGGCGUUCCACUUCCACCUGUGAAUGACGUGUGAUGUGCCUCCAUGUCGGACCGCGGCCACAUGCGAUUUUUAAUGGAGUAUACUUGUACGAGUACGAGCUGAUCCACCUCAGCGUUUUGUUGGUUCGUCCAAACGACGAGCCGGGAUUUGCGCAGAGCAGGUUGCUUGAUUGGAAGAUGCAGUAUAUUUCCUUUUGAAUAUGACCUCCCUCCCUCCGUUUCUAAAUAUAAGACAUUUUAAACAUUGCACUAUAAACUACAUACGGAUGUAUAUAGACAUAUUUUAGAGUGUACAUUCGCUCAUUUUAUUUUGUAUGUAGUCUUUUAAUGAAAUAUCUAAAAGAUCUUAUAUUUUGCAACGGAGGGAGUAGUAGGCAAAAUUCAGGCUUGCGGCUUUCGAUAUAGUAUAUUUUUGGCUGCAUUUGUCAUCCGGCGUGGAAAAACAAAAUUUCUUUUGGCUGCUCCAUCGGUGUCAUGCAAAUACAUGAAUUUUUUUAGGGUCGAUGUCGCCGCGCAAAUACAUGAAUUAUUAAGAGAGAGCUUUGGUAAGUUAGAAAAAAAAAAGGUGCACUGAUUGGCAAUGGGAGACUUGUAUAGGACCUUACCUUUGAGGCAUUUCUAACCGAUCCUCAAUAGAGCCAUAAGCGCAACUUUAACGGGUCGAUCCAAACGGAUGACGGUUUUGUCUCUUUUUGUUCGUUUGGGUCGUCCACCGGCAUGUCCGUGUCUGUUUCUUUAAAUGGGUCAGCACAUGUAUCCAACGAAAAGCAAGUGAACAACAUCUUUGUGACAAUGGGGUGGGUCAGCGAAUUAAGUAAGCACGCACAGGUGGGUGGGUGGCUAUGUGACAAGUCGGCCAGGCCGGCCACAUGCAUACACAGAGAGGGCGCGCGCGUCCG
rnacentral:lncRNA from 1 species